rnacentral:lncRNA from 1 species
CAUCAACACAGUACAGAGCCGGCUCCUAGUACACUUCCCUGCCCCCACAACUCCCCACCCAAGUGCUGAGUCAUAUCUGACUGUGCAGGCAGAAUACUUUUCGCACCAGCCACAUCAAAACUUUAAAGACUCGUUUACUUUUAAGUGUACUGCACGGAUUCGUCUUCAAGCAAAAAUAUAUGAGCUACACACAGCUACAUUUUAUGACUGAUAAUAGCAGAUGUGUGGGCGUGUACAUGUUCAUAUAUAAUUUCAGCUGUUUCUCUGACAUUUUGUGCAAACAAAUCAAACGCUCACCAAAACUAGUUGAAAGUUUUAUUUUUAUAAAAUUAACAUAAAAGAUUGUUUAAAAAUCUGCAGUUAUUUACAGCAGUAUUGCACAAGUAAAGUGGCAAUUACCCUGUCAAAAUUCAUCAGUGCAAAACACAAGUAAGCCAGGGAAACUGCAAUACAAAUGCUACAUACGCUGGGUCCUAGAAAACAGGUUAGUGAUGGAUCAGUAUACAGCCAGAUCAGUGCUAUUUAUAAGUGGGUACCUGAUGAGUUCUGAUACAGUAACUAGUGGUCACAGAAUCUGGACAUAAAACAUAAGAGAGCUUCUAUAGUCUGAAAUUCCCAAAUAAAAGUAGUCAAGUUACUUAACUGGGAGCUUGAGGAUGCUUCUUACACACAAUGCUGUUUAGAGUAGACCCCAACUGAUUUAGCGUCAUCUGUAGACACGUUUCCCCCACCCCACGUGUACGUGAGUGGACACACACAGGCACCAGGCUAAAUCAGCAGGGAUGGCAGAACCACCUGCAUGGAACCACCAUGAAGUCUCCUUAAAGCUCCCAUAAGCUUUCACAUCUUGACACCCAGUCCAGUGGGGCCCCAACCUCCCCUGAAGGAGAUGGAGUAUCAGAAGGAGGGCAUCGACCUGAAGAAGCAGGCUGACCAAAUGCAGUGACCGUAUGGGUGGGGCGUGGGGAGGGCUGUACAGUUAAUUAGCUCCUGAAGACAAGUUAGUCCAACCUCAAAGCACAGGAAGUUGCACAGCAGGUGGGGGAAAACCCAGCUACUCACAGUUGUCCACAAGGGGUUAGUGGCCUGAGUUGUCAGGGAUAAAUUUUCAAUAGAAAAAUCUUUCCCACCUGCUGAUAAUACUUUGGUUUUUUUGUUUUCCUAAAGAUAAAGCCUGGAGUCAGCAAAAUUUGCUUGCAUGAUAAGCUAGUUGCUUUGGAACAAACAGAAGGUUGCUGGGUAUUUCUUGGAGUAGAAUUUUGUAGCCUGCCAGACUGAGUUUCUCACUGGCAUCAAACACACACUUCAUCAUAAGGGCGGCAAAGCCCAAGAAUUGAAACCCACUUGACUGGAAAUACCAGGACCCGAAGGUGGAGAGCCACCCUGGAGGACCACGUGGUCUGCAAUGAGCUCUCCAGUCACCCCCGACAACUCUCAGGAGUUAACUUCAUGGGACGGCAGGGGAGUGGGAGACAGGGAUGUUAAUACUUUUCAGAAAUUAAGACAUUAAAUAAGCAGAAAAUAAAUAUACAAUAUUUCUACAAGUUACAGCAUUAUGAAACAGUAGGACACAUCACACAGAAAAAGAAUCUACAAUAUUUACAAUCCUUGAUUUUGAAAAAGUUGAGAAAAACAGUGAUUUUUUUACUUAUUUAUGCUGUACAAAAUUUUACAAGGUAAAGGA